UACGAAGGGGGCUAGCGUUGCUCGGAAUGACUGGGCGUAAAGGGCGCGUAGGCGGAUGGCACAGUCAGAUGUGAAAUUCCCGGGCUUAACCUGGGGGCUGCAUUUGAUACGUGUUGUCUAGAGUGAGGAAGAGGGUUGUGGAAUUCCCAGUGUAGAGGUGAAAUUCGUAGAUAUUGGGAAGAACACCGGUGGCGAAGGCGGCAACCUGGUCCUUGACUGACGCUGAUGCGCGAAAGCCAGGGGAGCGAACGGG
rnacentral:rRNA from 1 species